AGCCGCUGCGUACUUGCACAACGCACUCUUAUCAGUCUCCAUUUUCAUGUAUUUAUUUUUCUUAUCAGCCUUGCAAUAUAAAUCAUUCUAUAAUGAAAUAACCAGAUAGAUAACGUAACGAAUUUUACCCGCAAGUUCUAACACAAUGACGACAACUACAAAUAGCGGACGACGAUGCAGUUUAAUUAUUUUAUCAGCGACGAUCAUUUUUAUCAUUUGUACGGUUAUAAUCGGUUUGUGUGUCAGAUUUUUAACGACAGGAAAGGUUCAGCAAGUGAUUCUAAUCACACUGAUAUGUGUACUGGGCGUCGUAGGUAUGACAUCAGUGAUUAUUCUCGAAAUUAGAAGACGGCGAAAUUUGAAUAAACAGAAGCAGGUGAAAGCAGCAAGGGGCAAUUACAAAUUGGCGCCAACCGCACCACCAAUGUCUAAUGCUUCGUCGUGGAGCUACAACAAAAAUUACAGCAACAGAACCACCAUUCAAGCCUGAUACUCCCAAGUGUUUUUUAAUGUGUUCAAACUAUUUGUAAUUUCAUUUAUCAUGAGUUGUUAUUUAUUUUAAUAAUUUUCGUUUUAUACAAUGUG